UAGGGAAUCUUCGGCAAUGGACGAAAGUCUGACCGAGCAACGCCGCGUGAGUGAAGAAGGUUUUCGGAUCGUAAAACUCUGUUGUUAGAGAAGAACAAGGACGUUAGUAACUGAACGUCCCCAGACGGUAUCUAACCAGAAAGCCACGGCUAACUACGUGCCAGCAGCCGCGGUAAUACGUAGGUGGCAAGCGUUGUCCGGAUUUAUUGGGCGUAAAGCGAGCGCAGGCGGUUUCUUAAGUCUGAUGUGAAAGCCCCCGGCUCAACCGGGGAGGGUCAUUGGAAACUGGGAGACUUGAGUGCAGAAGAGGAGAGUGGAAUUCCAUGUGUAGCGGUGAAAUGCGUAGAUAUAUGGAGGAACACCAGUGGCGAAGGCGGCUCUCUGGUCUGUAACUGACGCUGAGGCUCGAAAGCGUGGGGAGCAAACAGG
rnacentral:rRNA from 1 species